rnacentral:rRNA from 1 species
GCUGACGAGUGGCGGACGGGUGAGUAAUGUCUGGGAAACUGCCUGAUGGAGGGGGAUAACUACUGGAAACGGUGGCUAAUACCGCAUAACGUCGCAAGACCAAAGAGGGGGACCUUCGGGCCUCUUGCCAUCAGAUGUGCCCAGAUGGGAUUAGCUUGUUGGUGAGGUAACGGCUCACCAAGGCGACGAUCCCUAGCUGGUCUGAGAGGAUGACCAGCCACACUGGAACUGAGACACGGUCCAGACUCCUACGGGAGGCAGCAGUGGGGAAUAUUGCACAAUGGGCGCAAGCCUGAUGCAGCCAUGCCGCGUGUAUGAAGAAGGCCUUCGGGUUGUAAAGUACUUUCAGCGGGGAGGAAGGUG